GAUGAACGCUGGCGGCGUGCCUAAUACAUGCAAGUAGAACGCUGAAGGAGGAGCUUGCUCUUCUGGAUGAGUGGCGAACGGGUGAGUAACGCGUAGGUAACCUGCCUGGUAGCGGGGGAUAACUAUUGGAAACGAUAGCUAAUACCGCAUGACAACAGCUAUUGCAUGAUAACUGUUUAAAAGGGGCAACUGCUCCACUACCAGAUGGACCUUCGUUGUAUUAGCGAGUUGGUGUGGUAACGGAGCACCAAGGCGAGGAUCCAUACCCGACCUGAGAGGGUGGUCAGCCAGACUGAGAGUGUGACACGGCCCAGUCUCAUACGGGAGGCAGCAGUAGGGCAUCUGCGGCAAGGGACGGAAGUCUGAGCGAGCAACGCCGAGGGAGGGAAGAGGGUCGUCGGAUCGGAAAGCUCGGUUGUAAGGGAAGAACGAGUGUGAGAGUGGAAAGUUCACAGUGUGACGGUAACUGACCAGAAAGGGACGGCUAACUACGUG
rnacentral:rRNA from 1 species